rnacentral:lncRNA from 1 species
GUGCCAAGAGUUUUUCACUAAAUUCAAAAGGAGUAUAUCGAAAAGUUCGCAACGUCAUUGACUUGAAAGGAAGAUAUUAUCUCGCUGCUGCAUAUCAUCAAUGUCCAACUUGCCAAGGAACUUUCAUAUCAUAUGAUGACCGAAUUCUGAGUCAAUUGCCAUUUUUUCUUUGAGUUCGAUUCCCAGUCUUACUAACUCGAAAGUGACACUGGCGUCGUCAAUUUGAUGCGUAGUCGGACUCUUGAAAAUAGUUCAAAUUCCCUUUGGAAUAAUGUUACAAAAAUGCACUCUUAUGAGUGGAUGAGGAAAGCUGUAGCCUAUCUCAGUGAUUGUGAGCGCCAUAAGAUUUCGCGUAAGCGACUUGGAAUUCCGGAUGUUACUUGCGCCACUUUGCCCUUCUUUCAUAAUCCACCUGGCUGUAAAUGGUUCCUCGUAACCUAUGUACGAGAUGUGUGGUCUCGUCUGCCUGCUUUAAAAUCACGAAUCAACUCAGUGUAUGGAACAAUUUUGAAAAUUGACUCAACUAAAAAAAUAACACUGAAGCUACAGGUCAAAGCUGCAAGAUCUACCUCAUGGUGUACCAAUGUGGGGAAUAAGCGAGGAGAGAUAGUAAUCUCCGUCUUAUCAACAUCCGAGAGUUUGUCAAAUCAGAAACCUUUAGCCAAUGGCCUAGUUGAGCGAUUUUCCAAAGCUAAUCAUUAACAUCCAUCAUUUUUAUACACAGACAGAGAUUGCUGCAAAAUAGACGAAAGCAAAUAUUGACGACUUCUUCCACAAUGGGAAAAUCUUCUAGUACGAAUGGAUUCGUGGCAUUUCAUGCGGCGGAUCGCCAAGGCAUGCAGCAAUGAGAGCCAUCCCCUCUACCGUCCCCUUAUACAGAAGUUUCUUCAGCCAUUUUUUAAUGGGACCUCGGCGAUGUUGCAACAUUACGUUCUGCUAAGGAGGGUUAACUAAAAAAAGCGGGUGUGUCCAAGCCUUCCACUGCGGCUGUCAACAAAGCCAUCACGAAAUUUGAAUUGACAAGGCAUUGUCGGCGAAGAACCAGAGGAGAGAAAUAAACCAUCCGGCUCAUAGAAAGUCUGAUUUUGAACGCCGAGUAUCUGACCAACUUUCUUGGAACUCCUUUAUUAAAAGAGGACGCUUUUGAAAUAUGGCAAGAAGAGCAAUGUCAUGUUAAGUGCUUACAGAAUCCUGUUGAUGUGAUGCUCUACACGCAAACCGAUGCAAUAUCCAUGGGUGGUAUUUCAUUGCAGGUUUAUCGUUUUUUUUUUACCAUCUGGUGGCGCCACUUCUGGCUGCACCUUUUCACAGUCUCUGCUUUUAGUCAAAGGUUUUUAAAGUUUAUCCUCAUCUUCGUCUUUGUGUUUGUGUAGACUUGACUAAACUUGUUGUCGUGCAUCCGCUGAACCAAGUUUUAAUUUUUUUUGUGCCGUGUGAGUUGUACUAUGAGUGAAAGUCUUUCUCUCUGUAUCCGCCAUGACCAUUGUUCACAGUCGGUCUGAGAUACUUGCAUGUCGCCCACGGCAAUAUCCUAAGUUAUCUCUAUCUCUUCACAGCUA